CAGCCGCCGCGGGAAUACGAAGGGUGCAAGCGUUGAUCGGAAUUACUGGGCGUAAAGCGUGCGUAGGCGGUGAGUUAAGUCUGCUGUGAAAUCCCCGGGCUCAACCUGGGAAUGGCAGUGGAUACUGGCUCGCUAGAGUGUGUCAGAGGAUGGUGGAAUUCCCGGUGUAGCGGUGAAAUGCGUAGAGAUCGGGAGGAACAUCAGUGGCGAAGGCGGCCAUCUGGGACAACACUGACGCUGAGGCACGAAAGCGUGGGGAGCAAGCAGGAUUAGAUACCCCUGUAGUCCCUGUCUCUUAUAC
rnacentral:rRNA from 1 species